AAGUGAAAAAAAGCUCUACGUUGGUGAACCAGCGGAGGGAUCAUUACCGAGUUAUCCAACUCCCAACCCCUGUGAAUCAUACCUUUAAUUGUUGCUUCGGCGGGACUUCGCGCCCGCCGGGGACCCAAACCUUCUGAAUUUUUUAAUAAGUAUCUUCUGAGUGGUUAAAAAAAAUGAAUCAAAACUUUCAACAACGGAUCUCUUGGUUCUGGCAUCGAUGAAGAACGCAGCGAAAUGCGAUAAGUAAUGUGAAUUGCAGAAUUCAGUGAAUCAUCGAAUCUUUGAACGCACAUUGCGCCCGUCAGUAUUCUGGCGGGCAUGCCUGUUCGAGCGUCAUUACGCCCCUCAAGUCCCCUGUGGACUUGGUGUUGGGGAUCGGCGAGGCUGGUUUUCCAGCACAGCCGUCCCUUAAAUUAAUUGGCGGUCUCGCCGUGGCCCUCCUCUGCGCAGUAGUAAAGCACUCGCAACAGGAGCCCGGCGCGGUCCACUGCCGUAAAACCCCCCAACUUUUUAUAGUUGACCUCGAAUCAGGUAGGACUACCCGCUGAACUUAAGCAUA
rnacentral:rRNA from 1 species